ACAUCUGUGGCCCUGACAGGCCACCCGUGGGUUGGUCUCGGCUUUAAAGCAGCUGUUCUUCCCCGGCCCAGCAGCCGCAGCGACUGUUUGCACCCGGAGGGCCAUGCCAGGACUACAGACCAGGACAGGACUGACCGCCCCAGAGAGUUCCCUCCUCCAGGUCCAAGGCUCUGCCUGGAGGAGCAGCCGACUGGAGCUGAUAUUCGGGAAGCUGAGCCUGAGGCUGCUCUGGAGGGCCAGGGAACCGGGCAGCCAGGCUUGGCACCCGCCAAAGGUGCAGUUAAGAGGAGGGAAGGCGACUCCGGAGCCCAGCAGAUGCAGCUGACCUGUUGCAUGCAGAAGAGAAGCCGCGUUCCGCGUUCCAAGCCUCUCCUCGCUGCUUUACCUGCCACCAGAUCUGAGCGCCAGGAGUCCGGAGACUGCCUGCAAGCACCCAGAGAGCCCAGAGCCGCAGGAAAAAAUGUGAAAAGUACCAGGAGACAACUGGUGUAG
rnacentral:lncRNA from 13 species